CUAAAUUAAUAUAUUCAGCAUCUUUGUAGCACCUGAAAAGAAAAAAAACGAGCAACUGGUUUUUCAAUCGAGUUCACGCUCGCAAUUUCCGCGUCAAUAAAAUCCGGUAUUUUCGCAUUCACACACUCACAGCAUGAAUCCAGAAGGGAUUCUUAGUCUGAUUUGCGUUGCUUUGUUAUGGGGUGUUACCAAUCCUCUGAUGGGCAAGGGCAGUUCGGGGAUCCAGAGGGUGAAACAUCCCAAUUUCCUGGUUCAGUUCGUAGCAGAACUCAAAUUCCUCUUGUUAAAUUGGAAAUUUGUCCUACCAUUCCUGGUCAACCAGUGCGGCUCCAUUCUCUUCUACUUCACGCUCAGCUCCACCGAACUCUCCAUUGCCGUUCCAUUGACCAACGGACUGACAUUCCUCUUCACCUCCGUAGCGGGUCAGUGUCUGGGAGAGCAUCCGACUUCAGCACGUAAUCUCUACGUUCUUUUUUGCAGUAUCUUGGAAUGGUUGUGUGUAUCCUCUUUCUCAUCUUUUCAGCCAAAGAAGAAGGAAUAAUCUUAGCUAAAUUUGUGUAACCAUCUUAGCGGUAAUAGUAGUAGCAAUUCGGUGGCCCGUUGGCGUAGAGUUGCGUGUGUCGGGAUACUUGAUCUUCCCAGCAUCUGUUACUUGGACACAAAAAAAUCUUAUAGAUGAGUUGAAAGCCAAAAGAGUUGAGAAAAGUAAUGACAGUAUUAAGGAAAAGCCAAUUCUAGUUAAAAUAAGGAAAAAAACGAACAGCGAAACAAUAAUAUUCAAACCGCGGCUUAUUUAAAAAAAAAUCCCUGGGUUUAAUAUUACCGAUAUUCUUUUCAUUUAUAUUUAGUUACUUACAAAAGAAAACGCUUGUUUUCUUUCUUUCUUGGAAAUCCGGUUGUGUGUGAACGGAUUGAAUUUUUCUCUACACAACUUUUCUCAGCUCUAUGAAUUUUGAUCCUUUUGGCGUGCGGGAAUGUUGUAAUGACUAAUUCUUGAAAUUAUUUUAUUUGUUUCUAUUUUAUCUUUUUUUUUUUCCUUAUUACAUUACCCCAGGCGCGUUUGUCGGAAUGGCUUGCGUCUUACUGGGUGUCGUGCUGUGCCUGACGGACAAGAUGUGAAGAAAAUCCCAUCAUCUGCUUUGGCCCCUCGUGUGUUUCAAAGAGGUCAACCAACGGAGCUCGAAUAAUCCUGGUCGGAAUGGCUGAGCUCUCGGGGGGUUGUCUCUUUAAAGAAAGAAAGAAAAAUUCCUAAAUUUUUUAUUUUACACAGCAUCAAUUGGGAGGUAAGAGGAGCCGUUUAGAAUGUAAAUCUUGUUGGGAGGGUGGUAAAGACGAUGAUAUAUAUCUUGAUAAGUUUUGUUAUUAUACGUGAAAAAAAGGGCUAUGUAUAUAAAAGGGAGGAAGACGCAUGUCAAAUAAAAGGUUGACGUUAAA